rnacentral:lncRNA from 1 species
GUUAAGACCAGUAAAAGUGACGGCGCAUUAAACUAUUGAAUAAUUUUAUUUAUAACGUUCUCGUGUUAAUUCAAAUACUUUCAAGAGUUUUUCAUUACAUAGGAUGGUAUAACAAACGAUUUAUUUUUUUGGUUAUUCUUUAUUGAGUUUGCUGAUUCAAUUAUUGUUUAUUUAGACAACUUUAAAGCUUUUUAAUUAAUAUUUUUACUAACUUUAUAUACUUUGUAUACAAUUACAUUGAAAUAGUGAAACUUAAACAAUUAAUAUUGCCUGAGUUUGCAUAUUGAAAUGCAAAGCGAGUACUAUCAAGCAAAUAGUUGCAUACUUUGAACAUCAUUGCAAUCGUGCGUGUAGACAAUGAAGUAUUCGUGUGUUGCAUCGUUAAAAUAAAAUACAAAAGAAUCGGAAAGUAAAGUCAGUGUUGAUCGUCGCAUGUUAAAGUUUCGUUUGCUCUAAUGUUAGAUUACAUUAUCGACGGAAUCCCAGAAAAGUCAUUGCGCGAUUAGGAGCGUAUUUAUUGUUUCGCGACGACAGAGGGCCUAAUCGACACAUUUGAUAGAAUUACUGUAAGUUCAACGAACUAACACGGUAAACGAAACGUCGUAUCAGUGAAGCCAAUGCGUAACGCGAAGAAUGUAAACAUGGAACACCACGAAGCAAGGAAGAAAACUAAUAACAGCAACUAUAAUCGUGAUGUAUUUGGUCAUCCUGGCGCAACGUACCCUACGAAAGGGUUUGGGAA